GGCGUACGGGUGCGGAACACGUGUGCAACCUGCCUUUAUCUGGGGGAUAGCCUUUCGAAAGGAAGAUUAAUACCCCAUAAUAUACUGGAUGGCAUCAUUCGGUAUUGAAAACUCCGGUGGAUAGAGAUGGGCACGCGCAAGAUUAGAUAGUUGGUGAGGUAACGGCUCACCAAGUCUGCGAUCUUUAGGGGGCCUGAGAGGGUGAUCCCCCACACUGGUACUGAGACACGGACCAGACUCCUACGGGAGGCAGCAGUGAGGAAUAUUGGACAAUGGGUGAGAGCCUGAUCCACCCAUCCCGCGUGAAGGACGACGGCCCUAUGGGUUGUAAACUUCUUUUGUGUAGGGAUAAACCUACCCUCGUGAGGGUAUCUGAAGGUACUAUACAAAAAAACACCGGCUAACUCCGUGCUUCCAGCCGCGGUAAUACGGAGGGUGCAAGCGUUAUCCGGAUUUAUUGGGUUUAAAGGGUCCGUAGGCGGAUCUGUAAGUCAGUGGUGAAAUCUCACAGCUUAACUGUGAAACUGCCAUUGAUACUGCAGGUCUUGAGUGUUGUUGAAGUAGCUGGAAUAAGUAGUGUAGCGGUGAAAUGCAUAGAUAUUACUUAGAACACCAAUUGCGAAGGCAGGUUACUAAGCAACAACUGACGCUGA
rnacentral:rRNA from 1 species